AAGUCGGUGGGCCUUUGGGACAGCAGGGAAGGUUGUAAGCUGCUGUGCCUCCCUAGGCCUCCCUCAUAUCUCUGGAGGAUGGCUGAGAAAAUUGCAUCCAAGGAGAGCUGAACUCUUCCAGCGGGGUGCAGAAAUUGAGCAAAAAUCCAGAAGAUUCCUGCAUCCUGACAAAGUACUUCCUUUCUAUGCACAGAGGAUUUGCGAAGAUUUUAUCAAGAUUUCCUGAAGAUUCUGGCUCCUUUCCUGUACCCUGCCAAAGGAGUUCUCUUCUGUGCAUGGAAGGGAGGUGAACUCCUUCAGCAAGCAGCUCUUUCGGCCAGUCCACAAAGAUGGCAAGGGAGCCAAAAUCCAAGCAGAGAAUAGAGAAUCAGCAUGGUCAGUGUGACACAGUCUGAUUGGCAGAAGCCCUCCAGAGUUCCAGGCAAAAUAUCCCUCCCAUCAUCCAUUACUUGAUCUUUUAAGUGGAGAUGCCAGUGGAGAAGACUAGAAUUGGGACCUUUUGUACCUACAGCAGGAAAAUCCUGUUCCAAGAGAUGAUUUCAAAGAUGUGUGCAAUCCUUGCUAAAACAUUAUGGAGUACAAGAAGAACUGACACCAUCUUCUUCUUUCCAAAUGACAAAAAACAAAGGUGUGUGUGUGAUAUGCUCCUACAACUGAGUACAAGCACGGAAAGAAGCAUAGCAGGUCUAUUCAAAGCACUGUAGUGUAAUUACAUAUUGCUUAAUGAAAUGAACAGGUUGUUUAAGUAGCAUUAUGUUUCUACGUAUGUGGAAGAAACAUAAGACAUAUUUGCAAAGACUGAACAGAAACAAAUUACAGAUAGUCCUUGACUUACAAUAAUUCAUUUCGUGACUAUUCAAAGUUACAACAGCAGUGAAAAAAAAUCUGAUUUAUGAUCAUUUUUCACAUUUACAACUGUUGCAUGUUAUGGUCAUGUGAUCAAAAUUCAAACACUUGGCAACGGACUCAUAUUUAUGGCGGUUGCAGUGUCCCUGGGUCAUGUGAUCACCUUUUGUGACCUUCUGAUAAGCAAAGUCAAUGGGGAAGCCAGAUUCACUUAACGAUCGCAUUACUAACUUAACUGUAGUGAUUCACUUAACAAAUGUGGCAAGAAAGGUAAUAAAAUGUCUCGCUUAGCAAUAGAAAUUUUGGGCUCAAUUGUGGUCAUAAGUUGAGGACUAUCUGUACAAGGUAAUUUCCAUCUAAUAAAAUAUAUUUUUGGGUUGCUUUGCAUAGUACCCCAAAUUAUCACUGUGGACAA